rnacentral:lncRNA from 1 species
GUAAUGAUUCCCUGUGCACUAAUCCAGUUGUUGAGCAUGCAGAUUUUGCAGGAAAUUUGGACUCCAAUGAUCAAGAUGCCAGUGCAAAUGGUGGUGAUUUUAUGCAGCCUGUUGCCCUUCCGUUUUUGGCAAGUCCCGGCGCUGGUCCCGAUUCUGAUUCGCCUACCACGGCAGUGGAUCUGUCGGGAGGAUCGUCUUCGGCUUUGGCACCGACUGAUUCCGUAACGCCAAGCUCCAACACCGAUCUGCCAC